CGUCGCCGCGGGAAUACAGAGGGUGCGAGCGUUAAUCGGAUUUACUGGGCGUAAAGCGUGCGUAGGCGGCUAAUUGAGUCGGAUGUGAAAUCCCCGAGCUUAACUUGGGAAUUGCAUUCGAUACUGGUUAGCUAGAGUGUGGGAGAGGAUGGUAGAAUUCCAGGUGUAGCGGUGAAAUGCGUAGAGAUCUGGAGGAAUACCGAUGGCGAAGGCAGCCAUCUGGCCUAACACUGACGCUGAGGUACGAAAGCAUGGGGAGCAAACAGGAUUAGAUACCCCCGUAGUCCCUGUCUCUUAUACA
rnacentral:rRNA from 1 species